AAAGGUAAGCUACUAAGAGCGAAUGGUGGAUGCCUUGACUGGUAAAGGCGAUGAAGGACGUACUAGACUGCGAUAAGCUACGGGGAGCUGUCAAGAAGCUUUGAUCCGUAGAUUUCCGAAUGGGGCAACCCAAUGUAUAGAGAUAUACAUUACCUAUAUAGGAGCGAACGAGGGGAAUUGAAACAUCUUAGUACCCUCAGGAAAAGAAAUCAAUAGAGAUUGCGUCAGUAGCGGCGAGCGAAAGCGCAAGAGGGCAAACCCAGUGCUUGCACUGGGGGUUGUAGGACUGCAAUGUGCAAGAGCUGAGUUUAGCAGAACAUUCUGGAAAGUAUAGCCAUAGAGGGUGAUAGUCCCGUAUGCGAAAAACAAAGCUUAGCUAGCAGUAUCCUGAGUAGGGCGGGACACGAGGAAUCCUGUCUGAAUC
rnacentral:rRNA from 1 species